UAUAUUUUUUUCCCAAAAAAAAGAAUUUUCUUUUAUUAUAUUUUCCAUUUUAUCUACCAAAACCAAAGCGAGAAGUUUUCACACAGUCACUUUAUUCAUUGUUUGGCCAUAAAAAGAAUCUUUCUUUUUCAUUCAUCAACUAGGUUAAGUUGAUAAGCUCUUUCUCUUUCUCUUUCUUUCCUUUAAUGCCAUUGGUGGCCUUGAAUUUACAGUGACAACAGCACCAAAAAGGACAGCACCAGAGAAAAGCAAAGCAAUGGCUGAAACUAGACAUCUGUACUGGUCAAUCCUCGUGCCUUCUGCUUCUUGUAAAUGAGCUUGGAUUUGUAGCCUAGAUUGCCACUGGUCCUAACCAGUAUGGCUCUGGGCUCGCUUUCUUCCUUGUUCCUGUUGGAUCUCACAUUCCACUAAAUUCUGGAGUGAGUUUUUAUGGGCCUGAACAACUCCAACAUUUAUUCCUUCCUUAUUUUCUGGAUAAGGAAGAAGUAGGGUGAACAGACAACAGAGAAAAUGAACUUAACAUCAAUGAACGAUGAGAUUGAAAGAGUAGCAGGUCCAAGAAGAUAAUUCUUACCAGGAUCUUGUUUCAUCUACCAAAAACUUCUCGAGUUAAAGGAAGUUGGGUCAGGGAGGAUUUGGAUCUGUUUACAAGGGCUACCAUACCCCUUCGGGAAUUGCAUGAAGAAAAUAUCAAAGCGUUCAAAUAAAGAGGAGUAUAUGACAGAGGUGAACCCUAAACCCUACAUUUGAGAAAGAUGGGUGGCUAAAUUUGGACAAGGAGAAGUAAGCUAAAUUUGGAGUGGACUGAGAAGAGGGAGAGAAGGCUAGUUGGUUUAGUUGGAAUAGGAAAAGACAUUGAAGGCAGUAUGGAAUAAGAAUGCAAUUUUGUUGCUUUCAAGGCUAAUAAGCGUUUAACCCAAGAGAAUUUCAUGUCUUCUUUUCUUAUGGAUGCUUGCUACACUUACAUCUAUGACACAUGGAAAGGAAGGAAUAGCAAAUUGCAUCAAGAGAGGUGUCUAACUAAAAACUAAUCAAAAUCGAGUUAACUAAUUUUAUCUAGUCUGACUUUGUUGAAUAACUACAGGUAUAACACUUGAUCUGAAGUAGAGCUAAGUUCUUGUUUCCUUUUACUUAAUGACAAUAUAACACGUGUAAAUGUUGAUUUAUUGUUUAAUUUUCAUUAUUAUUUAAAAUUUUUCUAUGUCAUGUUCUCUU